AUUCAGCAGCAGCUAGGCUAUGCCUCUCAUGAUCAUGACACGUAGUGGAAAUUUUCCUGGCUUCUAUACAUCAUCAUCUCUGCCUGGUUAAGUAAAGGGCACUGAACAAGUGAAGCUGUGCUGAAAACAACAGUGGCCAAGGCAGAGAUAUUCUUAUACCUCAACCCGUUGUGCAGAUGGAAGUCUGGCCAAAAAACCAUAAAGCAUCAAGUCUGACUAUUGGUUUGCCAUGGCUCUUUGAAACAGUUACUCUUGUCCUCAUUGUAGAGAUGGCGAUACUAAGGCAGAAUAUGGUAAGGUAAUUUAUUCAUAAUUUCCGAGAACUCUAUACCCUGUCAACUUCAAAUUACAAAUCAUAGUGCACGCUGGGGCAUAUGUUGGGCUUCCCUUUGAUUAACAGGGAGGAGGUUGGGCUUGAUGACCUCUGCAGGAGGCUUCCAGCUCUGUAAUACUAGGAUCUUAAUUCUGACGAAUGGUCCUGAUGGUAACUAGAACCAAGCUACUCCCCCACCCUUUAGUUCAAAACUUAAGACAAAUCACACACUCAUGCAAAAUAUUUUUUCUCCCUACUAAUUCAUAGGGUAAAAUAUCAAUUUCUGCUAAGCAUUGUUAUGUUCUGAUUUAGUCAUGAGUGUGAGUUGAUGAAAGGACCUAUCUUAUUUACACUGUUGUUUGGAAAUUCUACGGGGAUUUUGAACUGGGGGAAGGACACAGCGGGAAGUUUGGUUCCAGCUCAGUGAAUGACAUGUUUGUACUGGACAAUGUAGCAUAGUUUCUCCUAAGCUUCCAAUCUGGGCAUCAGCUGACUACACUCACAAAAUAAGCUGAUGAUAUUUAGAUUUUACCAAGACUAAUUAAGCAAGAUGCAUAUUUCCCAGUAGUUAUCUGUGACUGAGGUGUGAAUUUAAUUUUUUUUAAAUUAACAAAGUGAUUUUGUGUAGUUUCUUUUGUUAAAUUAGUUUUUAUUGUCAUUCCAAUGCCUUGAUUCUUGGUUCAUAGGAAGAACAAUAACCUCAUUUGAUUGUAAUUAAAUAAGGGGGAAAACAUUUUACUUUUUUGUUAUUAUUGCUUCUGAACUCCGAAGGAAGGAAAUGACAUACUUUAAAUAAGGACAGAAGAUUCUCUGAGUGGAACUAUGAUAGCAGUUACUGUGUAUCAGAUUUUCUUGAGCAUUAAAAUCUUCUUUUAGAAGUAUGUUUAUCACCCUACAAACCUUUCUGGAGGUUUAAUGUAAACUUGGAGUAGCUGGUAGAGGUGCUGGGAUUUGAAAAAGGUUUCUGUUCCUUUACUAUUGUCUUAGUUUCUCUUGCUCAUCGGACCAAAGUUUGGAAUCACGUCUCAUCUUCGUGUAUUUUGAAAAUCUAACAAAUCUAGAAGAUGGUGUGAAUGUGCAUAUAUUUAGACAAUUUAAAAUUUUGUCAAGGACAUGAAAGAAAGACAUGUUUUCUAACAAAACAGAAAAAAACAAAAAUAAGAACAGAAUGCUUUUAACAUUGCUUAAAGAACUACAGAACUAUGGUGGCAAAGUGAGUAUGUCAUACAAGGUAGGCUAUGUAAAUCUAUGUGUGAUAAUUGUGUACUAUUCAUUGAUAGGGGAUGUACUUUCUACUUAACACAUGUUCUCCUCCUAGAUACCUUACCUAUAGGUACAGAAGUAUCUAUUAUAUUGGUUUAGGCUGAUUCUAAGGGAUAUUUCUCUUAAUGUAAGCUGAAGCAGAGAGAAACUCUAUUGGCAGAUGCAAGUGACUUUUUUAACACAAUGAGUUACUGAAGGAUGGAUUCUUAAGCUAUGGAAUAUUGCUGAAAUCAAAGCUGCUAUAAUGCAGUUAUACUUUCAUAAGUCUGAAUAGAAAAAAAAGUCACAUCAUGGAAAAGAGAA
ensembl:lncRNA LINC02941 long intergenic non-protein coding RNA 2941